CCUACGGGAGGCAGCAGUGGGGAAUCUUGCGCAAUGGGCGAAAGCCUGACGCAGCCAUGCCGCGUGAAUGAUGAAGGUCUUAGGAUUGUAAAAUUCUUUCACCGGGGACGAUAAUGACGGUACCCGGAGGAGAAGCCCCGGCUAACUUCGUGCCAGCAGCCGCGGUAAUACGAAGGGGGCUAGCGUUGCUCGGAAUUACUGGGCGUAAAGGGAGCGUAGGCGGACAUUUAAGUCAGGGGUGAAAUCCCGGGGCUCAACCUCGGAAUUGCCUUUGAUACUGGGUGUCUUGAGUAUGAGAGAGGUGUGUGGAACUCCGAGUGUAGAGGUGAAAUUCGUAGAUAUUCGGAAGAACACCAGUGGCGAAGGCGACACACUGGCUCAUUACUGACGCUGAGGCUCGAAAGCGUGGGGAGCAAACAGGAUUAGAUACCCUGGUAGUCCACGCCGUAAACGAUGAUUGCUAGUUGUCGGGAUGCAUNNAUUCGUGACGCANCUACGCAUAAGUACAAUCCGCCGUCGGGAGGUACGGUCGCGAAGAAUUAAACUAACAAAGAAAGUUAGACGGCGUGAGACGUGCCGAACGGACGACGACGAGGGAGGUAGG
rnacentral:rRNA from 1 species